rnacentral:rRNA from 1 species
AGUGGCGAACGGGUGAGUAACGCGUAGGUGACCUGCCCCGAAGAGAGGAAUAGCCCCGGGAAACUGGGAGUAAUACCUCAUAAUAUCGAGGUUUUUAGAAAGCCUUGAUUAAAGGAGUAAUCCGCUUUGGGAGGGGCCUGCGACCCAUCAGCUAGUUGGUAGGGUAACGGCCUACCAAGGCUAUGACGGGUAGGGGGCCUGAGAGGGUGGCCCCCCACAAUGGAACUGAAACACGGUCCAUACAUCUACGGGUGGCAGCAGUGGGGAAUAUUGCACAAUGGGCGAAAGCCUGAUGCAGCAACGUCGCGUGCGCGAAGAAGACCUUCGGGUUGUAAAGCUCUGUCAGGAGGGAAGAAGGCUCUACGGGUUAAUAGCCCGUGGAAUUGACGGUACCUCCAGAGGAAGCCCCGGCUAAAUACGUGCCAGCAGCCGCGGUAAUACGUAUGGGGCAAGCGUUGUCCGGAUUUACUGGGCGUAAAGGGCGCGUAGGCGGUUUGUUAGGUCGAAGGUGAAAUCCUCGGGCUCAACUCGAGAAUUGCCUUCGAUACUGGCAAACUAGAGUGGCGGAGAGGAAAGCGGAACUCUUGGUGUAACGGUGGAAUGUGUAGAUAUCAAGAGGAACACCGGUGGCGAAGGCGGCUUUCUGGACGCACACUGACGCUCAGGCGCGAAAGCGUGGGUAGCAAACAGGAUUAGAUACCCUGGUAGUCCACGCCAUAAACGAUGGGUACUAGGUGUCGGGGGUAUCGACCCCUCCGGUGCCGCAGUUAACGCACUAAGUACCCCGCCUGGGGAUUAUGGUCGCAAGGCUGAAACUCAAAGGAAUUGACGGGGCCCCGCACAAGCGGUGGAGCAUGUGGUUUAAUUCGACGCAACGCGAAGAACCUUACCUGGGCUUGACAUGCUUGGGACAGCGCUGGAAACAGCGUCUCUCCUUCGGGAGCCCUUGCACAGGUGCUGCAUGGCUGUCGUCAGCUCGUGUCGUGAGAUGUUGGGUUAAGUCCCGCAACGAGCGCAACCCUCGUUACUAGUUGCCAUCAGUUCGGCUGGGCACUCUGGUGAGACUGCCGGUGAUAAACCGGAGGAAGGUGAGGAUGAUGUCAAGUCAUCAUGGCCCUCACGCCCAGGGCUACACACGUGCUACAAUGGUCGGCACAAAGGGUCGCUAAGCCGCGAGGUGGAGCUAAUCCCAAAAAGCCGGCCUCAGUUCGGAUUGGAGUCUGCAACCCGACUCCAUGAAGGCGGAAUCGCUAGUAAUCGCGGAUCAGCAUGCCGCGGUGAAUAUGUUCCCGGGGCUUGUACACACCGCCCGUCAUAUCACCCGAGUCGGGGAUACCCGAAGUCCGUGACCCAACCAUUUGGAGGG